rnacentral:lncRNA from 1 species
AGGAGGGGAUGUUUGGGGUCAGUAUUUGCGUUGCCACACUCCGUGGUUACCAGACGCUAUAAUAAAAUCACUUGCAUCAGAGGAAAGCUGACAACACAUUUUAGCACUUCCAUAGCCCUCACUUAAUCACGGCAGGAAGCUUUCCUGCUGCUAGGAGAACAUGUUGCGUCACCAGAACAUCUGACACCGGUGUCUAGUGUCAAUCACUUUGCUUAAGGUCAUUAAAAAUAUUAGGGUGUCCCCUUACGAUGUACAGGUUUUGCAUGAGUGACAAUUCAUGGGAAAUGCAUAGCAUGAUAAAUAAUGGAACAGGUGGACUAAAGUGGUGUCUUUCCUGUUUAAAAUGAGAAAAGUGAUUGACAUCAGCAAAGCUGGAUAAGCUAAAUAGAGCUGUUCAUCUUUUUCCCUUUCUGGGAACACAAUAGUUUUUCUGACUCCUUCUCCCUCCCCAUUUCUUUUUUUCAUCAGUGGAAUUUUAGGGGCUGCUGAGGAGAGAACUCCAGGGGCUACAGAGAUGCAGUGAUUUCCACUAUGUGUGUGGCACUUUGGCUCCAUGACUCCUUGGCUGAGCCCAGAGCAGGAGGUGCCCACUGCCCUCUCCAGAAGUCUUUCCCACACAUGGCUCCUCCUUUGGCCAUCACUGUGAUGUGGAAGGAAGGUAGAGGUACAAGGAAAGUUUAAAUCCACCUUGAAAGAAAGUUUUCCCUUUGGGCUAGUGCAGCAGUUCAGCUGAACAUAAGAGAUGCUAUGAAGCAAUUUUUGGCAUGGAAGAGAUCAAGUACCAUGAAGUCAGAACCAAAAGCUUAAAGUUCAGCAACAUGAAUAGCAUGAAAUUACAUUUUUGAGCAUGUGGAUUAUGUCAUGGUCAGGACCCAUGGCCAUCUGACAACUGGCUUGGGAAGUUUUGUAUUAAAAUCCCAUCAAGAAUUACAAGUGUCCUAACAUGAUGAUGGAAUGAGAGAUUAGAGAGGGGCCUGUAGCAGACCUGGAGGCUGCUAAUGGAAAAUCUUUAAGUGCAGAGAGACACACAGGCUCCCCAGAGGAAGGAUGCAUGCUAAAACAUCACCAGGUUUUGUAAUUCCAUUUGCAAAUGAACACCCACAGAGUGUUCAUGUUCACCUGUGAUCACUGAGCAACCCAGUGCCAGAAAGGGAAAAAACAAAAAGCUGUGUUGUUUGUUUUACUUGUAAGGGAUAUCAUGACCGUGGACCCAGGAAGAGAAAUCAGCUUCCACCUCUGAGUUUGCUCUUUGUUGUAGAGAUUGGUAAAAGAAGUCUUUAUAUUUUAAUAGCAUCUCUUAAAUACUGGUAUAUUUCCAUCAUCUUUUUUGAUUUAUGAA